UUACAAAACAUAAGUAAACUUCUUAGAAUGUAACUAUUUGUUGCCCACGCCAAAAGGAGAAUCUAGAGCACAUAUUUUGACAAACACUCUGGAAUUGUGCAAAUCACUUCGCUACAGGAGGAGGAGGAUAUCACAAAGGAUAAGCCAUGAGGUAACUUCAAAAAGAAAAAUAACCACUUUUAGCGGCUUAGUAGGCAAUGGUUUUAAAUAAAAACAGUCCCGAUACUAGAUCCGUUUUCAUUGCAAAUUAAAUAAAUUAAAAGCAGCGAAAGCGAAGAGUAAAACAAAAUCAGUAAGCCGUUGUCAAUUCCAAGCGUUCUCAUUUUAAUAAGCUCAAACACACUUGGGAGAGACGAAAUGGAAACAAACAUUUGGAGCAGGAACAAAUGGUAAACUGUUAGUGCGAGGAACGUGGGGAAAUGAAAAUUCGGAGACCUUUCAAAGAGAGGGAAUUAAGAGCUUAUGUGGUUGGUAUGUUUUUGAUAGAAGUGGAAACGGCACGGCAUAUAGUCGAGUAAAACUCAAUUUCCCUUAGUCCUGUAAGAAUCCAUUUUAAAUGUGCAUUGUAUGUGUUUCGGGUAUUGGCCAUGUAGUCUAUAAAAUAAUAAAAAACCACCGUCUCAGACUUUAUAGAACUUACAAUAAAAGCUCCACUUGGACGUUUUAAUGUUGUAGAUUGUUUUCCGUAUACCGCAAAGUAAAUAUUAAUACUAUAUAGAUGCUAAUAGAAAAACCAAAAAUGUACACUAUUAAGGGCUGGUCUUUCAAUUAUACGGAAACUUUAGCUGGCACCAGAGAUCUAUUUAUGUCAGUCAGCUAAAGUGCGUGUUUAGAUUGAGAAACGUGCCCUUAAUUAUACAACAACUGAGGGGUUAAAAGCGUAACUAUGCUUAAAAACUGUAUUGUCAUAAUAGCAACAAAAAUGCUGAACCGUAUGCAACAUAAAGCGCCAUUCAAUUUUUAUUAAAUCGAAGUGCUCAUUUAUCAAUUUGUGAGCUUCGAAUAUAUACACAGAUUUGCUCCUCAUGAAUAACCUGCAACCUGCAUUCCACAUAUAGCUGUAAAUAUUACGCAUACGCUCUGUUGUAUUCAGUUGCGCGUAGGUCCUACGUUCUAAAAAUAAAAUUUCUCAAAAUUCCUGUUAGCACAUAUCUAUUGAGGACAUUAGUUUUAUUGUAUUAAGCAAUUGGUUACACAAAACAUUUAGGAUAAAAGUGAAAUAAAAUACAUAAUAAUAAGUUAUCAGAAUCUAUUUCAAAUGCACUCUUGUUUGCACACACGAGAUAACUUCAAUAACUCUCUGACAAUCAGAAAUUCUUGUUUAGAACAAAACAAAGUGAAAGGGAAAGAAGUGGUGGAGAAAAGAAAAAGAUAUUUCUACAAAAUUUCUACACAUGCUGCAUGUGAACUUAUUUAACCUAACCUAAGGCCAAGCAUUUCAGUAGGAGUAAUGAAUUUUCUUAAUGUUAGCCCUAAGCAUAUUAAAUACACAUAAACCCCACUACAUGCACACACUUAUACACACAAGGAAAUUGUUUAUGUAUGAAAAUUAGCAAAACAAAAAUAUUAAUUAAGACAAACAAACAGGAGGAAAAACACCCACCCUCAUCUCCGGGCCUCCUCAAUACACCCCCUAGUGUGCACAUCUUGCAUUCAGCUUAGUUUUGUUUGUCCAAAUUUGAUGUGUAUAUGUAUAAGUGUAGCUAAGUUAAGGGAAAAUGUGCACAGAAAAUUAUAUGUUAUAAAUUAUAAUUAAAUUUGCCCUUCUGCAUACAUGCAAUAUGUAUUUAUAUGUAAGUGUACAUGUAUAUGUGUUAUGGUAAUGUCCCUGUGCUUAUAGUUGGUGAUAUGAAACUCUCGAAAGUGAAGGCUAAACUAUGGAUAUGGAUAUACCUACUAAAUGUACUAUUAAUUAAUACUGUCUAUGAUCUAUGUCUAUUACAAAUAAAACUAAACUUUACUGCAAAACAAAAA